AUGAAGAAGUACGCGGCAGAUGUGCGAUGGCUAGUGAUUGGGAAGGUCAACACGACUCGACAGUUCAGUUCAUCGGCGAUGUUUGAGACGAUGAAAUCGAUCUGGGGAUUAGCUGAAGCGCCAAAGUACAGAGAAGCGGGAGAGAAUCUUUACAUCUUCCAGAUGUUCUGCCUAGGAGACUGGAAAAAAGUUGUUCAUGGAGGACCCUGGUUGUUUCGGGGGAUGGGUAUGCUCAUUGAGGAUUAUGAUGGAAAGCAAGAUCCUGCAUCUUUCGUCUUUGAUGGCAUGUACGUUUGGGUGCAGAUCCACAACAUACCUGAACUGUACCGCAAGAUAGAGGUGGUUGAUCAAUUAGCCCGGCGUAUUGGCCGAGUUAAGGAAACACAACUCUCACCUAGGCUUUUCUAUGAAGGUGACUACAUUCGGGUCCGUGCUAGGAUUUUGAUCAGUAAACCCUUGACGAGGGUGACCCCGCUGAAUGUGAUGGGCGAGGGCAGGAAACUCUUACUGGUCAAGUAUGAGAAGAUACCAUAUUUUUGCCAGAUCUGCGGUCUCAUGGGUCACAACCACGAGGAAUGUGGUGAUGGAGUUUGGGAGGCAAAAGACAAGCAAUGGGGCGGUUGGAUGCUAGUGUAG
rnacentral:rRNA from 1 species